GAGUUUGACCGUGGCUCAGAACGAACGCUGGCGGCAUGCCUAACACAUGCAAGUCGAACGAGACCUUCGGGUCUAGUGGCGCACGGGUGCGUAACGCGUGGGAAUCUGCCCUCAGGUACGGAAUAACUCAGGGAAACUUGAGCUAAUACCGUAUAAUGACUUCGGUCCAAAGAUUUAUCGCCUGAGGAUGAGCCCGCGUCGGAUUAGCUAGUUGGUGAGGUAAAAGCUCACCAAGGCGACGAUCCGUAGCUGGUCUGAGAGGAUGAUCAGCCACACUGGGACUGAGACACGGCCCAGACUCCUACGGGAGGCAGCAGUGGGGAAUAUUGGACAAUGGGCGAAAGCCUGAUCCAGCAAUGCCGCGUGAGUGAUGAAGGCCUCAGGGUUGUAAAGCUCUUUUACCCGGGAUGAUAAUGACAGUACCGGGAGAAUAAGCCCCGGCUAACUCCGUGCCAGCAGCCGCCGUAAC
rnacentral:rRNA from 1 species